ACGCUGGCGGCGUGCCUAAUACAUGCAAGUCGAGCGAAUGGAUUGAGAGCUUGCUCUUAUGAAGUUAGCGGCGGACGGGUGAGUAACACGUGGGUAACCUGCCCAUAAGACUGGGAUAACUCCGGGAAACCGGGGCUAAUACCGGAUAACAUUUUGAACUGCAUGGUUCGAAAUUGAAAGGCGGCUUCGGCUGUCACUUAUGGAUGGACCCGCGUCGCAUUAGCUAGUUGGUGAGGUAACGGCUCACCAAGGCAACGAUGCGUACCCAACCUGAGAGGGUGAUCGGCCACACUGGGACUGAGACACGGCCCAAACUCCUACGGGAGGCAGCAGUAGGGAAUCUUCCGCAAUGGACAAAAGUCUGACGGAGCAACGCCGCGUGAGUGAUGAAGGCUUUCGGGUCGUAAAACUCUGUUGUUAGGGAAAAACAAGUGCUAGUUGAAUAAGCUGGCACCUUGACGGUACCUAACCAGAAAGCCACGGCUAACUACGUGCCAGCAGCCGCGGUAAUACGUAGGUGGCAAGCGUUAUCCGGAAUUAUUGGGCGUAAAGCGCGCGCAGGUGGUUUCUUAAGUCUGAUGUGAAAGCCCACGGCUCAACCGUGGAGGGUCAUUGGAAACUGGGAGACUUGAGUGCAGAAGAGGAAAGUGGAAUUCCAUGUGUAGCGGUGAAAUGCGUAGAGAUAUGGAGGAACACCAGUGGCGAAGGCGACUUUCUGGUCUGUAACUGACACUGAGGCGCGAAAGCGUGGGGAGCAAACAGGAUUAGAUACCCUGGUAGUCCACGCCGUAAACGAUGAGUGCUAAGUGUUAGAGGGUUUCCGCCCUUUAGUGCUGAAGUUAACGCAUUAAGCACUCCGCCUGGGGAGUACGGCCGCAAGGCUGAAACUCAAAGGAAUUGACGGGGGCCCGCACAAGCGGUGGAGCAUGUGGUUUAAUUCGAAGCAACGCGAAGAACCUUACCAGGUCUUGACAUCCUCUGAAAACCCUAGAGAUAGGGCUUCUCCUUCGGGAGCAGAGUGACAGGUGGUGCAUGGUUGUCGUCAGCUCGUGUCGUGAGAUGUUGGGUUAAGUCCCGCAACGAGCGCAACCCUUGAUCUUAGUUGCCAUCAUUAAGUUGGGCACUCUAAGGUGACUGCCGGUGACAAACCGGAGGAAGGUGGGGAUGACGUCAAAUCAUCAUGCCCCUUAUGACCUGGGCUACACACGUGCUACAAUGGACGGUACAAAGAGCUGCAAGACCGCGAGGUGGAGCUAAUCUCAUAAAACCGUUCUCAGUUCGGAUUGUAGGCUGCAACUCGCCUA
rnacentral:rRNA from 1 species